rnacentral:lncRNA from 1 species
AAGGUUUAACUCAUCUUUUGGUGUACCAAAAAGUGAUACUUGCAGUUUAUGCGAUGCUGGAGAGAACUCUUUAGAGCACUCGAAUAAUUUUCAACUUGCUUUUGCGCAGCAGAAAGUUGACCGCGAAGCAGUAAAAAUUUCCAAAGAAAAAUGUUACAUAACAAUGGAUCUUCAACAAACGAUGCCUUUGCCAAAGCUAUCAACGUCAAAAUCUUUUUACUUAAGACAAAUGUGGCUAUACAACUUUGGAGUCCACUGUUUAACCAGUUCUGGUCAUAAGUCCUAUUUUUUUUACAUGGACUGAGGAUAUUGCCAAUAGGGGAAGUAAUGAAAUAGCAAGUUGUUUGCUACGAUUUUGUCUGCUUCUUAAAGAAGAAAAUCCCCAAAUUGAUCAUUUAAUAAUUUGGUCAGAUCAAUGUGGGGGACAAAACAAAAACUUCUCCAUUAUUAACCUUUUUCAAUACCUAAUAUUAAAUAAAAUAUUUAAGAUCAUUGACCAUAAAUUUCCCGAAGUUGGUCACAGUUACCUUGACUCUGACAGAGACUUUGGAAGAAUAGAAAAGGUUCUUAGAAAACAUCAGAAUAUUUAUAUACCAGACCAAUAUCGGGAAAUUAUUAGAUCUGCGAGUACCAAACAAAGUGUAUGCCUUAACAUGGAACAUUUUUUUUAUUGCUUUGAAACUCUACCUGCAAAACUUCAUUUAAACAAAAGACUCACUAAUAGUCUUGACCAAAAAA